rnacentral:rRNA from 1 species
AACUUAGUGGCGGACGGGUGAGUAACGCGUGAGUAACCUGCCUUUCAGAGGGGGACAACGUCCUGAAAAGGACGCUAAUACCGCAUGAUAUAUUUGUGCCGCAUGGUAUGGAUAUCAAAGGAGCAAUCCGCUGGAAGAUGGACUCGCGUCCGAUUAGCUAGUUGGAGGGGUAACGGCCCACCAAGGCGACGAUCGGUAGCCGGACUGAGAGGUUGAACGGCCACAUUGGGACUGAGACACGGCCCAGACUCCUACGGGAGGCAGCAGUGGGGGAUAUUGCGCAAUGGGGGAAACCCUGACGCAGCAACGCCGCGUGAAGGAAGAAGGUUUUCGGAUUGUAAACUUCUUUUCUAAGGGACGAAGAAGUGACGGUACCUUAGGAAUAAGCUCCGGCUAACUACGUGCCAGCAGCCGCGGUAAUACGUAGGGAGCAAGCGUUGUCCGGAUUUACUGGGUGUAAAGGGUGCGUAGGCGGCAAUGCAAGUCAGAUGUGAAAUGCACGGGCUCAACCCGUGAGCUGCAUUUGAAACUGUGUUGCUUGAGUGAGGUAGAGGCAGGCGGAAUUCCCGGUGUAGCGGUGAAAUGCGUAGAGAUCG